rnacentral:rRNA from 1 species
AUACGUAGGGGGCGAGCGUUGUCCGGAAUGAUUGGGCGUAAAGGGCGCGUAGGCGGCGCGGUAAGUCUGGAGUGAAAGUCCUGCUUUCAAGGUGGGAAUUGCUUUGGAUACUGCCGCGCUUGAGUGCAGGAGAGGUUAUCGGAAUUCCCGGUGUAGCGGUGAAAUGCGUAGAGAUCGGGAGGAACACCAGUGGCGAAGGCGGGUAACUGGACUGCAACUGACGCUGAGGCGCGAAAGUGUGGGGAGCAAACAGGAUUAGAUACCCUGGUAGUCCACGCUGUAAACGAUGAAUGCUAGGUGUAGGGGGUAUCGACCCCUUCUGUGCCGCAGUCAACACAAUAAGCAUUCCGCCUGGGGAGUACGGCCGCAAGGUUGUAACUCAAAUGAAUUGACGGG